ACGCAAUUUGCGCCCCAAGCUUCGGGCCAAGGGCACAUCUACCUGAGUGUCAUGCAUCGUUGCCCCACCCCAUCCCCUUCUCGGGGGCUCGGUGGUAAGGGCGAUCACGCCUGCGAUUGGCCCAAAUUCGAGUCCCCGGCGACUAGUGCCAUGACGAUUGGUAGUGGAAACAGACCUCUCAACCCGCGUCGCGUGCCUGCCUCUUCGUCUCGGGACUUAAGGACCCCGACACUCUGCACUAGCGAUGCUCACAUCGCAACCCCAGGUCAUGUGGGGUCGCCCUAUGAGUUUAAGCAUAUAAAUAAGCAGAGGAAAAGAAACUUACCAAGAUUCCUCUAGUAACGGC
rnacentral:rRNA from 1 species